rnacentral:rRNA from 1 species
AUUGAACGCUGGCGGCGUGCCUAAUACAUGCAAGUCGAACGCAGUGGGGACGGGUGAGUAAAACGUUGGUAACCUCCCAUCAGAGGGGAUAACACUUGGAAACAGGUGCUAAACCGAUACUGAUGGAUGGACCCGCGGUGCAUUAGCUAGUUGGGGAGGUACCGGCUCACCAAGGCGACGAUGCAUAGCCGACCUGAGAGGGUGAUCGGCCACACUGGGACGUAGACACGGCCCAGACGUCUACGGGAGGCAGCAGUAGGGAAUCUUCGGCAAUGGACGAAAGUCUGACCGAGCAACGCCGCGUGGGUGAAGAAGGUUUUCGGAGCGUAAAACUCUGUUGUUAGAGAAGCGGUAUCUAACCAGAAAGCCACGGCUAACUACGUGCCAGCAGCCGCGGUAAUAC